AAGAUGCACUUUUAUUUAGUGCCAACAGAAUGCGAUAGGGGGACAGAGAGAGAGAGACAGAGAGAGAGAAAAAGGGGGUUGGGAUUAUAGCUACCAAGAUGGGCAGACGAUCUUCGUGGAAGCAGCCGAGGUCCGUUGCCGUCCGGGGAGAUCUCAGGGGUCUUCAGUUUGAAGGGGGCUCAAUCUUGCUAAUUCAUCAGCUCUGUUAUUCCAUUCUCCUGCUGGAUUCCCAUCUGUCUGCACCUUCAGUGAUUGAGAAAAUGUGACAGUAGUGUUCUAUUUGAGCAUACCAUUUUCUCACAGAGGCCCGCUGAGCAACCC